rnacentral:rRNA from 1 species
GACGAACGCUGGCGGCGUGCUUAACACAUGCAAGUCGAACGGAAAGGCCCUGCUUUUGUGGGGUGCUCGAGUGGCGAACGGGUGAGUAACACGUGAGUAACCUGCCCUUGACUUUGGGAUAACUUCAGGAAACUGGGGCUAAUACCGGAUAGGAGCUCCUGCUGCAUGGUGGGGGUUGGAAAGUUUCGGCGGUUGGGGAUGGACUCGCGGCUUAUCAGCUUGUUGGUGGGGUAGUGGCUUACCAAGGCUUUGACGGGUAGCCGGCCUGAGAGGGUGACCGGCCACAUUGGGACUGAGAUGCGGCCCAGACUCCUGCGGGAGGCAGCAGUGGGGAAUAUUGCACAAUGGGCGGAAGCCUGAUGCAGCAACGCCGCGUGCGGGAUGACGGCCUUCGGGUUGUAAACCGCUUUCGCCUGUGACGAAGCGUGAGUGACGGUAAUGGGUAAAGAAGCACCGGCUAACUACGUG